UAUUAAAAAUUCCAUACAUUUCUACGGUUAAAAAUUGACGUGAUAAAUGGAAUAACUAAACACACUUGGCAUGCCAAGUACACCUGAUUUUGAGAUACAUGGACCAAUUUUUAACCGUAGAGAUGAAUGCAAUUUUGUAGUA
rfam:Gossypium raimondii Chr05_contig_22, whole genome shotgun sequence.